rnacentral:rRNA from 1 species
AAACCAACUGGGAUUACCUUAGUAACGGCGAGUGAAGCGGUAAAAGCUCAAAUUUGAAAUCUGGUACUUUUAGUGCCCGAGUUGUAAUUUGUAGAAUUUGUCUUUGAUUAGGUCCUUGUCUAUGUUCCUUGGAACAGGACGUCAUAGAGGGUGAGAAUCCCGUUUGGCGAGGAUACCUUUUCUCUGUAAGACUUUUUCGAAGAGUCGAGUUGUUUGGGAAUGCAGCUCAAAGUGGGUGGUAAAUUCCAUCUAAAGCUAAAUAUUGGCGAGAGACCGAUAGCGAACAAGUACAGUGAUGGAAAGAUGAAAAGAACUUUGAAAAGAGAGUGAAAAAGUACGUGAAAUUGUUGAAAGGGAAGGGCAUUUGAUCAGACAUGGUGUUUUUUGCAUGCACUCGCCUCUCGUGGGCUUGGGCCUCUCAAAAAUUUCACUGGGCCAACAUCAAUUCUGGCAGCAGGAUAAAUCAUUAAGAACGUAGCUACCUCGGUAGUGUUAUAGCUUUUUGGAAUACUGCUAGCUGGGAUUGAGGACUGCGCUUCGGCAAGGAUGUUGGCAUAAUGGUUAAAUGCCGC